UUGGCUCAGGAUGAACGCUGGCGGCGCACAUAAGACAUGCAAGUCGAACGAACUUAAUCGAAAGUUUACUUUUGAAGCGGUUAGUGGCGGACUGGUGAGUAACGCGUAAGCAAUCUGCCUGAAAGAGGGGGAUAACAGUGAGAAAUCACUGCUAAUACCGCAUAAGCUGUGAAUAGCACAUGCUAAAAACAGAAAAGGAGUAAUCCACUUUCAGAUGAGCUUGCGUCUGAUUAGCUAGUUGGUAAGGUAACGGCCUACCAAGGCAAUGAUCAGUAGCCGGACUGAGAGGUUAAACGGCCACAUUGGGACUGAGAUACGGCCCAGACUCCUACGGGAGGCAGCAGUGGGGAAUA
rnacentral:rRNA from 1 species